GGGCGAAUGGUCUAGAGGUAUGAUAUUCGCUUUGCAUUCUGACUUGGUCAGAGAAAUUGCCUGCGAAGGGUCCGGGGUUCAAUUCCCCGUUCGUCCA
rnacentral:tRNA from 1 species